rnacentral:rRNA from 1 species
UCCGGCGAUCAUACCGGAGGGGUUCCACCCGUUCCCAUCCCGAACACGGUAGUUAAGCCCUCCAGGGCCCAUGGUACUGCACGGGGGACCGUGUGGGAGAGUCGGUCGUCGCCGGGA